UGGGGAAUUUUGCGCAAUGGUCGAAAGUCUGACGCAGCAACGCCGCGUGGGUGAUGAAGGUCUUCGGACUGUAAAACCCUGUCGUCAGGGACGAAGGUGUGCAUGUUAAUAGCGUGUGCACUUGACGGUACCUGGAGAGGAAGCCCCGGCUAACUCUGUGCCAGCAGCCGCGGUAAUACAGAGGGGGCAAGCGUUAUUCGGAAUUACUGGGCGUAAAGCGUGCGCAGGCGGUUAUACAAGACAGGCGUGAAAUCCCCGGGCUUAACCUGGGAAUGGCGCCUGUGACUGUAUAGCUAGAGUGUGUCAGAGGGGGGUAGAAUUCCACGUGUAGCAGUGAAAUGCGUAGAUAUGUGGAGGAAUACCAAUGGCGAAGGCAGCCCCCUGGGUUAAUACUGACGCUCAUGCACGAAAGCGUGGGGAGCAAACAGG
rnacentral:rRNA from 1 species